CAGAAAGGCUCCAAAAUGGGCCAAACCAGCCCCAUAAAGACCGGGGGGAGGCUGGCGAGGGGAGGGGAAAGCUUUAGAGAUCCACACACAGCCGUGCCAGCACCCCCAGGAAGCAGCAGAGUUAACCAGGACCCAGCGUUACCAAUCCACACAUGAACCUGUCCCCUUAUCCCAUGACUGCUAAGUUCACUCAAGAGGCUUUGGUGGGGAACGUUGUCAAAAGCUUUCUUCAAGUCCAAAUAUAUGAUGUCAACUGGAUAACCUUCAUCCACUUGCCUGCUGACACUUUCAAAGGACUCCAAAAGGACAAGCUGCUGCUACCCACGAUGCACAAGAAGAAACUGCUCCCAACAGCAGUCUAAGUACACCUGAUUACUUAGUCUGAUCUCUGUGAGGUCAGGGCUAAUCAGUUUCAAACUCCAGACCUUCUGCUUUUGUUUAAUAUAGCCCACUAAGAUUAAAAUGGGAUUAGAGCUGAACCCAUGGUGAGAAUAGCUCUGAACACGGAUUUUUUUUUCACUGCUCUUUUGCAAAUGUUGCUGAGGAUGAGAAAAUAUCUUGCCUGCAGGGAAGGUCCCAGACCAUCUGUCAAUGCACCACAGGCUUCCCCUCACCCACACUGUUGUGCUUACUUUUUUAUGUAUCUUUCUGUAGCUUUGCAGAUAUGAUCCACUAAUUUCCAACAGUCCUCCAGAAGAUUAGGUCUCUCAGUUUAUGCACCUGCCACUCUAGCUGUCCCUUUAAGACACUUUGCUCUGCAACAGUCUCCGAUCAUGUUUAGUCCAUGCCAUAAAAAGCUUC